rnacentral:rRNA from 1 species
GAUGAACGCUGGCGGCGUGCCUAACACAUGCAAGUCGAGCGGACGGACGAUGCUUUUGCUUGGCUGAUGUGGGGGGCGGGGGGGUGAGGCACAUGAGUAUACCUUCCCUAUAGGACUGAUAUCACUACGAGAGAGCGGAUAUAACACCGGAGCAGAUGUUGAACCGCGGGGGUCAUAGGAGAAAUACGGCUUUGCUGUCACUAAUAGGGGGUUCCCAGCUGGUUUAGCUAGUCGGUAAGGUAACGGCGUACCAAGGCAACGAUGCGUAGCCGAACUGAGAGGGUGAUCGCCCACACUGGAACUGAGACACGGUCCAGACUCCUACGGGAGGCAGCAGUAGGGAAUGUUCGGCAAUGGGCGAGAGCCUGACGCAGCGACGCCGCGUGUGUGAUGAAGGUCUUCGGAUCGUAAAGCUCUGUUAUUAGGGAAGAACCGAUGUGGACGUAAACGUAGCCAUAUUGACGGUAACGAAUAAAAAAGCACCGGCUAACUACGUG